CUGUGUUGAAGAAAGAUUGACCAACAAAUUGACCGUCCCACACUCAUUCCCUUCCACUUCCACUCUUACUAUCCAUCUAUGUGUGUAUAUAUGAAAUAAUGGCAUAUAUAUAUAUAUAAUCUCGUGAAGGAAUGCUCUUUUCCAUUAGCUUGAACUUUUUUGAUGGUGGCGGAGUAGUUGAGCGGGAAGAACUCUAUUUUAUCUGGUGUACGUGUAGCUGAUAGUUGGCUGUAAAAUAACUGCAAGAACUUGAAGAAGAAAACCCAUAGUUGAGUCUGUCCAGUAAUUUACAAAUCCUGAUCUUUCAACCUACUAGAGAACCUAAAUGAGGGUUUGAAAUUGCUGGCUUGGUGAUUAGUAUUUGAAACUUUAACUUUGGUUGAAAUCUGUUAGCAUGGGAAAGACAGUUCAGGUGUCGGGGUUCCCUUAUCUUGUGACUGCAGAAGAGGCUAAAACUUGCAUAGAGAAGCAUACUGGAGCAGGCUCUGUAUCUGCCUUAGAGGUUAAAAAGUGCAGAACGGGACAACGAUCAUAUGCGAAAGUCCAAUUUGGAAACAAUAGAAUCGCGGAUCAAAUUAUAAGUUUGGCCAAUAACAGGAAGUUGUAUUUUGGCACCUCGUAUUUGAAGGCUUUUGAAAUGGACACCCGUAUUGUGCAA